GCUGGGUGCGGUGGCGCAGCCUUUAAUCCCAGCUAUGGGGGAGGCUGAGGCAGGAGGAUCGCAAGUUCAAGGCCAGUCUCAGCAAUUUAGUGAGAUCCUGUCUCAC
rnacentral:sRNA from 1 species